AGAAGUCUUUCAAAACUAAUAUACUUGUUGGGAAUGAGCUCCCUUUUAUUCCCACGUUAAGAGUUGUGCAGGGAGAACAUUUUUCAAUUAAAAAAGCUGAAAAUAUGAUAUAUUUCAUGUUAAUAUUAAAUUAAAAUAUUGCUGAUAUUAUAAUACAAGAAAAUUACCUAGUUUGGCACAAUUUGAAAAGUUCAGUUGAGUUACUGAUUUUGAAAUGUCCCUGUUUCCUCUUGAAGUUUAUUAUUAUUUAUUGCAUUUUUGAAUCUAUAGCAUUUCUCAGUGUAUUUAUUGCUAUUGUAAUUUUGAGAUAUUAAUAUAUUAACAUAUUUUUUGCGGUAGUUUUAUUUGCCGUUAACAAUCAUUUGGAAUUAUAGAUAUUGUUUCAUGCUUCAUCAACUGUGUUUCUGUUAUUGUUGAUAGCUAGUUCGUUUGAUUAAUCACCGUACCCAAAUUCGGAAUAAGCCAAUCAGAAGCCGUUUCUACUGCCCUGGUAUCUUGCGAUAUCAUGGUCAUCUGGGCCGAGUUGGGUUACGAUAAAUUCUUUAUCGUACCGUUUUUAGUACUGUUCAGCGGUAUAUCAGGUUCAUUUGGUCUCGUAAUGGGUAUUUUGGAUCGACCUUGUUUCGCCAUGGCUCAACCAAACUCGCCUGAUAAUACCUCCGAAGCGUACCAAAAGGAAGCUCAUCGAAAGCUUCCUAUAUAUGACGACGAAAGAGUGACGAAAGACAACAUCAGAAUGGAAAAUUCAAUAAAAGGUCCCCAAUAUUAUUUUCUGAGAACAUCCUCAAUCCCAGGCUCUCGACUUUGCGUCGGGAGGAUAAGAAGAGAGAGCCUGGGAUAGAGUUGUUGUGGAAUGGCAAGUGAGCCUGCAAGCUUCCAUGCGAGAGUCCGGGAAUCGGGCUAGCAAAAAAUCGCUAGCAAAUGAUCGAUCGCUGUGCUUUCGUUCGUCGAGUCGUGUAGGAAAGAGCUAUGGAUACACACUUUGACAAUGCCUGCCCUUCUUCGGCUUCAUCAGAAGACAGUAAAGCAGAUUCGGGGGAGAGUCUAAGAACAUCAAAUGUACAGGUACAGG